CUACGGAGGGUGCAAGCGUUGUCCGGAUUUAUUGGGUUUAAAGGGUGCGUAGGUGGCGUGUUAAGUCAGUGGUGAAAGCCUGCAGCUCAACUGUAGAGGUGCCAUUGAUACUGACAUGCUUGAGUAUGGAUGAGGUAGGCGGAAUUUGUGGUGUAGCGGUGAAAUGCAUAGAUACCACAAAGAACACCGAUAGCGAAGGCAGCUUACUGGACCAUAACUGACACUGAGGCACGAAAGUGUGGGUAGCGAACAGGAUUAGAAACCCCUGUAGUCC
rnacentral:rRNA from 1 species